GACGAACGCUGGCGGCGUGCCUAAUACAUGCAAGUAGAACGCUGAAGAGAGGAGCUUGCUCUUCUUGGAUGAGUUGCGAACGGGUGAGUAACGCGUAGGUAACCUGCCUUGUAGCGGGGGAUAACUAUUGGAAACGAUAGCUAAUACCGCAUAACAAUGGAUGACACAUGUCUUUUAUUUGAAAGGGGCAAUUGCUCCACUACAAGAUGGACCUGCGUUGUAUUAGCUAGUAGGUGAGGUAAUGGCUCACCUAGGCGACGAUACAUAGCCGACCUGAGAGGGUGAUCGGCCACACUGGGACUGAGACACGGCCCAGACUCCUACGGGAGGCAGCAGUAGGGAAUCUUCGGCAAUGGGGGCAACCCUGACCGAGCAACGCCGCGUGAGUGAAGAAGGUUUUCGGAUCGUAAAGCUCUGUUGUAAGUCAAGAACGGGUGUGAGAGUGGAAAGUUCACACUGUGACGGUAGCUUAACAGAAAGGGACGGCUAACUACGUG
rnacentral:rRNA from 1 species